AACGUAGGAUGCAAGCGUUGUCCGGGUUUAUUGGGUUUAAAGGGUGCGGAGGCGGCCUAUUAAGUUAGUGGUGAAAACGUUCGGCUUAACCGGUUACCCGCCAUUGAUACUGAUAGACUUGAGUGCGACAGAGGGUGUUGGAAUGUGUGGUGUAGCGGUGAAAUGCUUAGAUAUCACGCAGAACACCAAUUGCGAAGGCAGAUGCCUAUGUCGUAACUGACGCUGAGGCACGAAAGCGUGGGGAGCAAACAGG
rnacentral:rRNA from 1 species